rnacentral:lncRNA from 1 species
UUUUUAGGGUUCUUCGCUCACGCUGGAUGUCCUUCGCGGCUGACUGGUGGAUUUGUGAUCAGCGCAGCUCGAUAUCAGCCGCAUUCUAAGAUUUCUCUCCGUUACUAGUUCUAGCUAGCGAAAUCCUUGUGACUGGUGGAUUUGCGAUCGGUCGGCAGGGAAUUCUAACAUUUCUCUCCAUUUCUAGAUCUAUCUAGCGUUUUCAACAAAAUCCUGGGAGCUCUGGAAUUGGCAUUUCCGGUAAGAAAUUUGUAAGUUCUCACGCUUCCAGACGGCAGCACACUCCUUGCUCUGGUUAGACAAGCAUCCUUUUUCUUCAUUAUUUCCAAAAAGUAGUUCGUUCCAUCCGGCAUGUACAGUGAUUGAUCAACACUUCCCGUAAGUUCUCCUCUCUCUCUUUUUUUUUUUCCUUUUUCCCUGUCGUCGACCCCUAAACUCUCUUGAAUAUCUUACACGAUGAAGAUCGCAGUGAAGAAGAUCAUGGCUGUCCAGCGCAAGAGAGAGUCGCGGGGUUCCAUAUCCAUGGCACCAAGAACUUCCGCCGGUUCACG